UUUCCUUUUCCUUUUCCUUUUCCCUGUUUCAAUUUUUAUUAACAUAGACAGAAGUUUUUAUUAACAUAGAGAGAAGGUGCAUGCUUUCAUCCCUCCCUUUCUUUUCUUUCUAUUUCUUUCUUUGCUUUUAACUCACAACCCUUCCUUUCACAUCUUUGGAUGUUGUUGUUUUGUUGCUUCUUCCUCUUGUUUUUGCUUUCGGUAAAACCAGUUGGUGGUUUUAGGUCUAUUAUUACCUGUCAUUCUGUCUUCUUUUUUUUUUUUUAAAAGAACUGCCUCCUUUUUCUCCUUGUGUACCCUUUUCAGCCUACAACAGACACGUUAAGAUUCCUAAAAACGUUAAUAAAACUCAGAACAGUUCAUGACUCAUCACCAAAUCACAAUUUGCCACGUGUCCUGCCUUCUGCUCCGUUGUUUCCUUCUCUUUGACAUUGCUUACCGGAAACGCCAACUGAUUUUUCCUUCUUUUUCCUCUUUUCUCUUCCGGACCCAAACAGAAAAGCCUUCGCUUAUUUUCAGCUCCUCAAUUUCCCAACUUAUCUAAAAAUCAUUCUAUUUGACCAAACCCCAAAAUGGGAAAUGUAUUGAGGUUCCUAUUUGGACAUUGUUACAAGCCUACUACAACAGGGGACUCUGAAUCGUUGGGACCUCAUGGUGUGCCUACGGCCACCGUCGGAGUUUCAACUCUUGCCCAGGAUUUGUUUCACUUUGAGAUCACCUCUCAGGUUCCCCAACGGCUUAGUGAACGUGUUGUCUCUUCCAAGAAGGCUCAAGCUAAUUGGUAUAGAAAGCUAUUGGAGGCAUGGAGAGAAGCAAAGCCUCCACCAAAAACACCAGAACAAGCUGCUAGGCUUGUUAUUCAGACCUUGGCAAGACAUAAAAAGGCAGAUGUUGAGGGUUUAUUGUCUUUCUAUGGUCUCCCGCUCCCUCAUACUCUUGUUGCACCUUCUACUGGUGUCCCAACAACAUUGCCAGAGGGGGUCAAGUUUGAGCUGCAGACUCUACCAGUGGAUGCAAAAGCUGUGCCUGAUGGAGACACAAUAUCUGUCUACGUUAGCACUGCUGAUCCUAGGGAGUCGUCCUGUGUUCCGAGGGAUGUUCAAAUGGCAGCUGUUCAAAGAUCAAAGGCGCGUGCAGAUAGGAAUUAUGAGAGAGCAGACGCACUCCACAAGAAAAUUAUUGACUCUGGAUAUAGGUUGGUUAUCUACCUGCCAUUGUAUGAAUUCAGUCCUAGCCAUUGGUUUGUGAUACUACUCUUCCUGCAGGGUAAUUAAGGUUCAAAAUGAGGAGAUUCUUGCUCGAAAAUAUCGCAUUCGACUAAGGUAACACCUACUUGCAAGAGCCCUUCCUAAAUCUUGGCGUGUCACAUUAGAGACUAAUGAUUAUUGGAUUGGAAAGAACAUAGGGGAAUAGAUGCACCAGAGAGUUCAAUGCCGUAUGGAAAAGAGGCACAGGAGGAGCUAGUUAAGCUUAUCCAGGGGAAGUGUCUAAGAAUCUUUGUUUAUGAGGAAGAUCGUUAUGGCCGUAGCGUUGGUGAUGUAUAUUGCAACGGCAUAUUUGCACAGGUAGCUGCCUCUCUAAAAUUCAUCACCUUAUGACAUGAUUGAGCAAGAACAUUAUAGAUGUUUUGUUUGUAAUAGGAAGUAAUGCUAAAGAAGGGGCUUGCAUGGCAUUAUACUGCUUAUGACCAACGAUUCGAACUGGCAACGGUAAGUAAUCGCAAUGCCCUUGUUCAUUCCUGCACUUGCUUGUGUAAACUGUAAACCCUUCCUGGUCUAACUUUCAUAUUAAUCAUAUUAGUGGGAGAAAGAGGCUCGAGCAAAACGUGUAGGCUUAUGGGCUUCAUCGAAUCCUGAGAAGCCAUGGGAAUGGAGGAAGGACAGAAGGGAAGGCAGAUGACCUUUUCUUAGUUGACCAUGUAGGCAACUGUGACUUAUGUUUGCCCUGAAUCAAACUGAGCAUGCAUGACCAAAACCAGGCCAAUGAUAUGUACUCAAGACCCAAGACUGCUAGAAUAUAGAAAAUAAGGCACACAUCUUAGAAGCUUUACCUGCAAAUAGCUAGCCAACAUUAUUUAUGUUGUAAUUAAUAGUGUAUCAAAAAUCUAAAUCCUCUGUUAAAGAUUGGAAAGGCCGACUGAUCAUCUUUGCUAGAAUGAAAAUGUCAACAUAAUUAGCACAAAUUACAUAUCCCUGUUUGUUCCUUCAAUGCUGAUGUAACUAUAACAUGUCCAUGAAACUUUGCCAAUCAACAUGAUGUCCACAAAUAUUCUCUUAUUCAACAUUCUGGUCAUUCACAACAUCUCAGAGAAACAAUUGAAAACAGAAGAAAAUGAGCAAAAACAAAUUGAUGAGGACCAAAAACUUCAUAUUUAUUUGAAUAGAAUCACCGCAUGUAAACAUACAGAGUUUAAAAAAUACAAAGACAACUAUUCAAAUAUUUUUGAGAGAUAAAAAAGAUAUAGUCAGCCUCUGGAUUGUUAUGAAGUGUGGAAGUACACCUGAAGAAUAUGCUCAGAUUCUCAUUUGCAAGUUCAAUGAGAAUAACUAUCUGCUAUUAUUUGCCU
rnacentral:misc_RNA from 1 species